rnacentral:tRNA from 1 species
GCCGCGAGGCCGGGGCCCGGAGGGCGAGCGCCUCCUAAGCGCGCUAGGUCGCAGGUUCGACUCCUGCUCGGGGCGCCA